UACGGGGGGAGCAAGCGUUGUUCGGAUUUACUGGGCGUAAAGGGCGCGUAGGCGGCCAGCACAAGUCAGUUGUGAAAUCUCCGGGCUUAACUCGGAAAGGUCAACUGAUACUGUGCGGCUAGAGUGCAGAAGGGGCAACUGGAAUUCUCGGUGUAGCGGUGAAAUGCGUAGAUAUCAAGAGGAACACCUGCGGCGAAGGCGGGUUGCUGGGCCGACACUGACGCUGAUGCGCGAAAGCCAGGGGAGCGAACGGG
rnacentral:rRNA from 1 species